UGAUGUCCAUGGCGUGCACGGAAAACAUCAGCUCUCGCAAUUCCUCGCGAGAAUCCAAUUGGAUGCUGGAUCGGUGACGAAUACGAAAAGACAAUAAGGUUCCCACUUCACCGCCCUCUUCCGUAAAUAACGGCCGACAAUAAACACGGCGAGAACGUUUGUUGCACCUGCUUGUGAUUUUUCUGCGAUGAAAACUACACCGCCACCCCACCUCCUUUACGGAUAAGAGACAGGUGCGGAGUCUUACGUUCAUCAGAGUGGAAAACAAACGGAAAUAAAAACACGCGCAUCAUUCGAGCCGGAUGACGUGGAUUCCCUGUUUAAUGGGCGUCGCUUUUCUCGUUGCGAUUGAAGCGAAUUUUGUUUGGCAGCGACGGGAAAUAAACACCAGAGACACGCCGCUUAAAUUCUGUUGUGCUGACGUGAGUGGUACACGUUACAAUUGUCGGCUUCCAUUUCAAAUGAUAUCAUCAUCAUUGGAGAUUACCGAUCCUUUAAAGUUGAAGCCGAGUUUAACAGACGAACAGCUGACAGCAGCCCCAUUUCUCGACGAGUCAUUAACUACCAACAGUCAACCG